rnacentral:rRNA from 1 species
UACGUAGGGUGCGAGCGUUGUCCGGAAUUAUUGGGCGUAAAGAGCUUGUAGGCGGUUUGUCGCGUCUGCUGUGAAAAUCCGGGGCUCAACCCCGGACUUGCAGUGGGUACGGGCAGACUAGAGUGUGGUAGGGGAGACUGGAAUUCCUGGUGUAGCGGUGGAAUGCGCAGAUAUCAGGAGGAACACCGAUGGCGAAGGCAGGUCUCUGGGCCAUUACUGACGCUGAGAAGCGAAAGCAUGGGGGAGCGAACAGG